GGGUAAAAGCCUACCAAGCCGAAGCGGGUAACCGGUGUGAGAGCACGAUCGGUCAGAGGGGGACUGAGACACGGCCCCCACUCCUACGGAGGCAGCAGCAGGGAAUCCUGCGCAAUGGGCGAAAGCCUGACGCAGCGACACCGCGUGGGGGAUGAAGGCUUUCGAGUUGUAAACCCCUUUUCCCGGGGAUGAGAAAGGACAGUACCCGGGGAAUAAACCUCGGCUAACUACGUGCCAGCAGCCGCGGUAAUACGUAGGAGGCGAGCGUUAUCCGGAAUUACUGGGCGUAGAGCGCUUGUAGGCGGCUCGGCAGGUGCCCUGUGAAAGCCCCCGGCUUACCCGGGGAGGGUCGGAGCAAACCACCGAGCUCGAGGCAGGCAGAGGGCCGCGGAACGUCCGGGGGAGUGGUGGAAUGCGUAGAUUCCGGACGGAACACCAGAGGCGAAGGCGGCGGUUUGGGUUUGACCUGACCCUGAGGAACGCCAGCGUGGGGAGCGAACAGGAUUAGAUACCCUGGUAGUC
rnacentral:rRNA from 1 species